GACGAACCGUGCGAACGUUAUUCGGAAUCACUGGGCUUAAAGCGCGUGUAGGCGGAAGGGCACGUCCGUUGCUGAAAUCCCCCGGCUCAACCGGGGAACGGGCGCGGAUACGACUCUUCUGGAGGGGCGUAGGGGGACCUGGAACUUCCGGUGGAGCGGUGAAAUGCGUUGAGAUCGGAAGGAACGCCCGCGGCGAAAGCACUCUGCUGGGCCGACACUGACACUGAGAGACGAAAGCUAGGGGAGCGAAUGGG
rnacentral:rRNA from 1 species